rnacentral:rRNA from 1 species
UGAGCCCGCGGCCUAUCAGCUUGUUGGUGAGGUAAUGGCUCACCAAGGCGACGACGGGUAGCCGGCCUGAGAGGGCGACCGGCCACACUGGGACUGAGACACGGCCCAGACCCCUACGGGAGGCAGCAGUGGGGAAUAUUGCACAAUGGGCGAAAGCCUGAUGCAGCGACGCCGCGUGAGGGAUGACGGCCUUCGGGUUGUAACCUCUUUCAGCAGGGAAGAAGCGAGAGUGACGGUACCUGCAGAAGAAGCGCCGGCUAACUACGUGCCAGCAGCCGCGGUAAUACGUAGGGCGCAAGCGUUGUCCGGAAUUAUUGGGCGUAAAGAGCUCGUAGGCGGCUUGUCACGUCGAUUGUGAAAGCCCGAGGCUUAACCUCGGGUCUGCAGUCGAUACGGGCUAGCUAGAGUGUGGUAGGGGAGAUCGGAAUUCCUGGUGUAGCGGUGAAAUGCGCAGAUAUCAGGAGGAACACCGGUGGCGAAGGCGGAUCUCUGGGCCAUUACUGACGCUGAGGAGCGAAAGCGUGGGGAGCGAACAGGAUUAGAUACCCUGGUAGUCCACGCCGUAAACGGUGGGAACUAGGUGUUGGCGACAUUCCACGUCGUCGGUGCCGCAGCUAACGCAUUAAGUUCCCCGCCUGGGGAGUACGGCCGCAAGGCUAAAACUCAAAGGAAUUGACGGGGGCCCGCACAAGCGGCGGAGCAUGUGGCUUAAUUCGACGCAACGCGAAGAACCUUACCAAGGCUUGACAUACACCGGAAACGUCUGGAGACAGGCGCCCCCUUGUGGUCGGUGUACAGGUGGUGCAUGGCUGUCGUCAGCUCGUGUCGUGAGAUGUUGGGUUAAGUCCCGCAACGAGCGCAACCCUUGUUCUGUGUUGCCAGCAUGCCCUUCGGGGUGAUGGGGACUCACAGGAGACCGCCGGGGUCAACUCGGAGGAAGGUGGGGACGACGUCAAGUCAUCAUGCCCCUUAUGUCUUGGGCUGCACACGUGCUACAAUGGCCGGUACAAAGAGCUGCGAUACCGUGAGG